GCCCAGGCACUGGAUGCACCUGCAGCCUGAGAGCAGCAGGGGGCGGGGUGCCGGGAGGAGAGGGAUUUCAGAUCCCCUGUGCCCUGUGGACGUCAGAAAGCAGGACUUUCUCUUCUGAAACCUGGGCUAGUUCUCAGGUGCAACAGGCCCUGGGUGUGAUGCUCUGACCAGGCGCCCCGGGUGUAAGUACUCAGGCUUCUCGUGCUUCCUCUUCAUACUACACCUUUUGGAACCCAAGAACCUCGCGGCUGCUCCUUCUGGCAAUGGAAAUGUCAGAAAGCAAAGGAAAUUUAAGCUCCACUCAGAGAAAAGAGAAGAUACCAAAAAGUCUAGGGCAACAGACUGUGAUGUGGCCCUUCCAGAUGAGGAGUUCAACAAGACUACAUGGUAGAGCAGCCAGAGAACCCACUGGAAAUAAGGCUCAAAAUAAGGAGUAACCACAAAAUAAGAGACAGAGAAUGCUGAUUCACUAUGCAGUGAAACAUGCCUAACGUGUCAACAGCUAAAUGCCCGGUGACAGUGUGGUUGUCUGGGCAACAGAAGAAGUCACCCACGCAAACACUUAAAGGACCAUACUUAUUUUACAAGAGGAACAGUUUUCAAUGGAAUGGAUAUUAAAACACACACCUGGAUCCCUUUACCACAGGUGCUUUGAGAGGCACCAUCAAGGACAGUGAGCUAACGCAGGAGAAUGGAGUCCCAGAAACCUAGGAGGAGAAGACAAAGUGUCAGCCUCUCGGCAUCUGCAGUGUUGCUAGGAAAAGAGCUCUGAUCCCAGGGGCUUACCCACUUCCACAGGUAGGAAGCGUCCCUGAGAGGACUGGAACAUUAGCAUAUCUCAGAUCCAUCUGCAAAACUUUUGCAAACACGGAACUCCCUCGUUCUAAUCUUAUCAGCAACUUCCAGAGCUGAACCUUGAUUAAUCUGGAUACAAAAAGGAUUGAAACGCCACAUAAUAAGCAUUAACAGGAGGGUGUUUCCUUUAUCAAUGAAGCUUGAUUUAUCCAUGAUGAUCUAGUGCAUUCUCCUCCCAAAAAUCAGGAUCAUCCUCUGCAUAUGAAGGAACAGACAAGCCCUCAGCUCUACCACUUUGGAGAGGGGGGGAUUGGACAGCAUGAGCCUUCAAUUGUAUCUCUUGGAUGACCAAGGAAGGCUGGAUUUCUGCACCUAAAAAAUGGAAGCACAAACUGUACAACAAAUACUCUCCAUUCAAGUUGAAGUUCUCAAAUAAGUUCCGUGAAAAAGUUGGUUCAAAUCAUUCAGCCUGGCAUUACUGGAAAUCUCUAACAAGAUUUACAGCGGUGCCACCCCAAUGAAUUCCACCACACUGAAUUCAUUGUUCAUUGAGAGAGAUUAGAAAAUGAAGAUACCAUGCCCCUUGGCUUCCCUGCUAAAGG
rnacentral:lncRNA from 10 species